GCUUACGGCCGUACCGCCUGGUUCACGCCCGAUCUCGUUUGAUCUCGGAAGCUAAGAUAGGGUGGGCCUGGUUAGUACUUGGAUGGGAGACCGCCUGGGAAUACCAGGUGUUGUAAGAU
ensembl:rRNA 5S_rRNA 5S ribosomal RNA